AACUUUCAACAAUGGAUCUCUUGGUUCUGGCAUCGAUGAAGAACGCAGCGAAAUGCGAUAAGUAGUGUGAAUUGCAGAAUUCAGUGAAUCAUCGAAUCUUUGAACCCACAUUGCGCCCCUUGGUAUUCCAUGGGGCAUGCCUGUUCGAGCGUCAUUUACAGC
rnacentral:rRNA from 1 species